UACGUAGGGUGCAAGCGUUGUCCGGAAUUAUUGGGCGUAAAGAGCUCGUAGGCGGUUUGUCGCGUCUGCUGUGAAAACCCGAGGCUCAACCUCGGGCCUGCAGUGGGUACGGGCAGACUAGAGUGCGGUAGGGGAGAUUGGAAUUCCUGGUAUAGCGGUGAAAUGCGCAGAUAUCAGGAGGAACACCGGUGGCGAAGGCGGGUCUCUGGGCCGAUACUGACGCUGAGGAGCGAAAGCGUGGGGAGCGAACAGG
rnacentral:rRNA from 1 species